rnacentral:misc_RNA from 1 species
AAGGAAAUUCGNCGUCGCAGGAGCGUCACUGAUAUCACACGGGUCAGUAGUCAGUUUUAC